rnacentral:lncRNA from 10 species
GGUAAUCAGGAUGGCAGUGAGGCAGGCACUUGCUUGCAGAAGAACAGGCCUAGUUUUUUAAGAAGCCACAAAAGUGUCUUUGGAUGAUUAGGAUCUAAGGGGCCAACAGCUUUGCAAUAACAGCAUAAAUAUUGUGGGCUGGAUGGACAGGCACCAAAUGGGGACAUUCCAUCCUGCUGUGUGAUGAGAAAGCUGCCACUUUUGAGGCCUUCCAAAACAAAUCAACACUCCAUAUGCCAGAAGGAAAAGCCCAGGAAAGACCUAUUCCAACUGGAGAUGGUGAAUGUCAUUUCUUCAAGAAGCUGAGAUCCAGCUGGUACUGCCAGGUGGAGAGUGAGUUGGGAAUACGAAGGGAGAAUGAAACAAAACUGCUCCGCUUAGGGAACUUGGAAAGGAAAUUGAAAAGGCAAGGCACAGGCUGGAAGAAAAUAUUUGAAAAAGAUUUAUGUGAACUUCUUUCUGGAUUAUACAAAAUAUUUUUAGAUAUUCUUACAACUCUAAAAUAAGAUAACUCCUUAAAAAUCUAAAUUCUACCAAAGGAGAGAUAAAGAUGACGAAUACAUUCAAAGAUGCUGAAAAUCACUUAUUUAUUAUUAGGAAGUUACAAGCUAAAGCAUAAUGAGAUACCACUACAACCUACUAAACUGACUAAAAUUAAUCAGACUAACCAGGUGUUGGCAAGAAACAGGG